UCCCAGUGAAAAAACAUUCAAACAUCUUACCUCUUAUUCCAGUUCCAGAGAUUAUAAAGGUGAACCCACUGGGGCUGGCUUGGGGAGAAGAGGGAAGGAACUGUCUGAGGGAU
rnacentral:snoRNA from 1 species